GCAAAGUUGAGCACAUAUUGAAGCUGAGUUUCUGUCUGUCCUCUAGAGACUGAAAUCAGUGGGGUAGCAUGUGAAGUCCCGUUGGUGAACAACAACAGUCGCUGAAUGUCUGCCAGUUGUUCUCCUCCCAUCAUUAGGAACCUGGAGAAGAUGAAUUGGUCUGUUGAUUCAGAGCAGAAGUCAGACACUGCUGUUCCCAGAGAAGAAUGUGCCCAAAACAGAAGAGCUGCUCACUUGGGAAGAACUGCCUUUUGUAGUAGCUGGCAGGUACAUGGUUUCUGUUAUCCACACAUGCAAAUCAGGGGCUGGAGCUGCUUUUACCAUAGUUGCUGGUGUGGGUUUAUUCACUGUCACUGCUAUACUUACCUCUACUGCUUCUCUUUUCUUUAAGUCACAGAGCCCAUCUGUGUCCCAAGGCUCAGGCUCCAUGAUCUUUUGCCCCAUGAAGAAGGACAGCUGUAUGACACUGACUCUGUGAAUCCUAUAUUACAAAGAGCAGCAUAAAGACUACUGACCAAAAACCCAUCUCCUAGUUCAUGUCUCACCUUCCACAUCCCCAGACCUUUUUGUAAGAGACUGUGAGCAUUCAAAGACCUAAGCAGUUGCUGAAGCUUCAUUUCCUACUUCAAAGUGCGUUGGGGGGACUACACUGUUACCCUCCUCUGCAAUCCCAGCCCAUUGUGUAGCUGGAAAUGCUCCUCAGCUGUGUCAGUGUGAUAGUACUAGGGAUGUACAGCAGAUCAGAGUAACUGGAGAGAGAUUAUUGUGAUUCCUGCACUUGUUUGAAGGGCUCAAGAGACCUGAUCUGCUUCCCAAUUUAGGAUGGUAGAAGCCUUUUAAGGGUUAAAUCUAGACAGGUGUUUGUGUCCCAUUUCCUGGGAAAGAGUUUGCAUUCCUUGGUUAGAGAGUUUAAUAUAUCCUAAGUACUGUCUGCUUCACUUCCCAUCCUAUUUCAGAAGAAAUGCAAACAUUUCCCUGCAUAUUAUCUUCAAGCAAUGGAGAGUAUUUGGAUGGGCUCCAUUAUGCAGCUUUAAUGGAGAAAGAAGUUCCUGGAAAAAAUGUAUUUGGUAUCUUCAUAUUGCUAUGCCAAGGCAGGAGUUGCCUCCAUCCCAUAGCCCUAAUCUAAAUAGCCAGCAGUCUCUGUGAGCUAGAAGCUAACUCGGCAGCUCUCCAUAAUCAUGUUUUGUAGAUAGUUUCCUGUUAUGGAGAGCAGGCCUGAGUGCAAAUACAACAAAGCUAGAAGGGCCUUUUGGGGUUGUUUUUGGGUAGUUUUGGGGUUUUUUUGAGGGGGGAGAUUGGGUGGAUGUGUUGGCAUGUGAGUAGUGACCUUUCUGGCAGGGCCCAAUAGAGUAAGAAUUGCUUCUUAGGAUCUUUUCAGCCCAUUUUGGGC
ensembl:lncRNA